AAAUUUACACCUAUACUCGGCGCGGCGAAACUUGAUCCCUAUGACACUGACAGCUAAUGUCACCAUAUAACAUUGUAGUGGCGUCACCAUUAAAUUGGGAUCGAAUUGGGGGCGUCUAAAAAUGCCAUUUAUAAAUUUUACGUAGCUUUAUACCAUUAGAAAUGAUAUUCCGUUGAUAUUUUUAACAAUUCUUAACAUUUACAAGAAGUUAUCUCAAUCUGAAUUUAUGUUUACGUCCUGCAA